rnacentral:tRNA from 1 species
UGGGGAGUGGUCGAAUUGGCAAGACGUCUGACUCUGGAUCAGAAGGCUCCGGGUUCGAAUCCCGGCUCCCCAG